rnacentral:rRNA from 1 species
GACGAACGCUGGCGGCGUGCUUAACACAUGCAAGUCGAACGGUGAAGCGCCUUCCUUUUUGGUGGGUGUGGAUGAGUGGCGAACGGGUGAGUAACACGUGAGUAACCUGCCCCCUUCUUCUGGAUAACCGCAUGAAAGUGUGGCUAAUACGGGAUAUUCUGGGUCUGUCGCAUGAUGGGUCUGGGAAAGAUAUUGUUUCGGUGGGGGAUGGGCUCGCGGCCUAUCAGCUUGUUGGUGGGGUGAUGGCCUACCAAGGCGGUGACGGGUAGCCGGCCUGGGAGGGUGGACGGUCACACUGGGACUGAGACACGGCCCAGACUCCUACGGGAGGCAGCAGUGGGGAAUAUUGCACAAUGGGAGCAAGCCUGAUGCAGCGACGCCGCGUGAGGGAUGGAGGCCUUCGGGUUGUGAACCUCUUUCGCCAGUGAAGCAGGCCUGCCUCGUUUGUGGGUGGGUUGACGGUAGCUGGAGAAGAAGCGCCGGCUAACUACGUG